ensembl:lncRNA
GCAGUCGUCCUCAGCUUGUGCGCAGGAAUAUUGGAAAGCAGUCCAACCAUUAUCCAGUUUAUUACGGCUACCGUGUCAUUGUGUUUUAAAAGUGAUUCAAGAAAACGUCACUAAAGCUCAUCUUUUACACUGCUCCACUGUAGCACAAGAAGGUUAAAUGCUUUUCUCAAAGGCAUAUUGAUUGUGCUUAAUGACUUAAACAUGCCAUUCACUUUAACUGGAUUUAUUGUUACCAAUUAGAGUUUUGAUUACUUUUUGUCCACAAGCAUAUCUUAAACACUUUCAUCAGCUAAAAUGAUAUAGAAUUGAACAUGGAAUCCAUUUUUUGUGUGCUACCAGAGUCUUCUCCAUCAGUCUAAGAUAAACCCACAUACAAUCACCUUAUUUUUGUCUAAUGAUUUCAUAAGCAUCCUCAUAUACCUCUAAUUAUGUGUGAUACAUUCUAUCACCUAUUAGGCUAAACUAAUCCAUACAUGGUAUUUGUAAAUGCUGUUUGAGCAAGGUCUGCUCCAGAUGCAUUCGGCCCAUCCAGAGACUGAAGCUUGUGUAUGCAGGCUGAGGCGUCGUUCAUUAAAACUCCAGGAUUCCCCGAGGCGUGAGACAGUGUGAUUAUAACUGGUGAUAUAUGCAAGUAAACCUGCUGACUGUUAGUUCAAUGUGUUUCCAAUAAGAUGGAAAAAUGUCUCCCUUAAGUUGUGGCUCCAAUGGGUCCAUUCUACCAAACCGCACAAUAGGAGAUUUGAACUGUUUAGCGCACUGAAUGCAGUACAACAAGUUGUAUGCACACUUGUCGGAGAACUGAAACCACUUGUGAAGCAAAAUACCCAUUAAGAACCAUUUACAUUUUCUACGUCAUUUUCCACUCGGUUGAUUCCAUCUUAUGUUUGAUAACAACUUUCUAUCUGCUUUACAACAGAACACUCACGCUCAUGAAAAAUGUAUCGCCGUGAUCUGCAUAAGCCGAUUCCCCUGAUUUGGGUUGCCGACUCUUGUUUAGAGAAAAAGAGAGAAUGAAAGCAAUAUCAGCCAGCACUAAGUGAAUCUCAAUUUCUACUUUUGACAAAUGUACUUACUCCACCAUGCAAGCGGCCGAGGAUAUCAGAGCCAGAACGGCCUCCACCUAAACCUCUCCAUCCACUCCAUCAAACGGAAGGAGGGAGGGAGCGAGGCAGGGCGAUGAAUAUUUAAAUAACUUUA